UACAGAGGGGGCAAGCGUUGUUCGGAAUUACUGGGCGUAAAGGGCGCGUAGGCGGCCUGUUAAGUCGAACGUGAAAUCCCCGGGCUCAACCCGGGAACUGCGUCCGAUACUGGCAGGCUUGAAUCCGGGAGAGGGAUGCGGAAUUCCAGGUGUAGCGGUGAAAUGCGUAGAUAUCGAGAGGAACACCGGCGGCGAAAGCGGCUACCUGGACGAGGACUGACGCUGAGAUGCGAAAGCGUGGGGAGCAAACAGG
rnacentral:rRNA from 1 species